rnacentral:snoRNA from 1 species
GUCGACGUACUUCAUAGGAUCAUUUCUAUAGGUCACGACCCUCUUUUGAUUCUUCAAAAGAGCCACUGAAUCCAACUUGGAUGAUGAGGGAAAUCCACUAUACUUACGAGGGAGAUAAUAUUUGCUCAUCUUUUCUAAGAAGAGCGCGAUGAACUUUAUCUAAUGUUUCUUUUUGAGACAAAUUAGAUGGUAUAAGUGGCGGUCUGACAAGU